GGUAUCUAAGAGGCCGAUGCAUGCCGGAAGCAUAGCCGGACAUGAAAUCGCCACGGAGGCCGAUGCAUGCCGGAAACAGAGCCGUCCACCAUCAUUAGAGAAAAUGGUCGAUGACGGAGCCAAAAUCCGACCCCCCCCCCCCCNCCCCACACAAAAGGAACCGGUGUUAGACGGAAUGAAACGGUUAACCCACCGGACAACCGUGUCAGAACAUAACAGCCGCCGGAAGAAACCUUAGAUGAGAGUUUCUCUCUCUGGAAAAUUUAGAGAGAGAAGAGAGAGAAACUCCCCGCAGUCACCAUUCAUACCCUUAGUCUUUUGGUGAAAAAAAAUUAAUCAGAAAUGAAGAAAAAUGGUAAGAUCUCCUUAUAUAAGAGACUGAAUAAAAAAAACAUUUCCUGCUCAAUUUUUUUUUCUUUUUUCCCCUCUCUCUCUCUCUCUCUCUCGGUUGCGAUUGAAUCGACGAAACCAUUGAUGAAUUUGGAAUCAGAAGCUUGAAGGUUGGCUCAAUCAUUUGAAUCAAUUGGAAUCAGAAAGAGUGAAGAUGGAAGUAGAUGUUCCAGUAUCCGUAGCGUAUAAUUUCUACUUGGAUCAUGAAUCUUUUCCUUAAUGGAUGCCUUUUAUUUCAUCCGUAGAGCCUACUCCUAAUCAAAAGAUUCAUUGAAGAUCUCUUGAAGGUCUUCCUAAUAAAGAGACACACAACAAAUAACAGAGAUUACAAAUUGCAGAGGUUCUUGCUUGCUUUUUAAUUUGCAGAGGUGUUAAUAACUUGAGGAUUUUAAAAUUGAUUCGCACAAGGACGCCAAAGAAAAACAUCUUUACAAACUCAUCUUUUACAUGAGUUUAUCGUAUGAAGCAUCUUUCAAAUCUAACUGUAUCAUAUGAAGUCCCUGCGCUAUUAACCCCCAUGGCAUCGGCUACCUCUUAGGCCAUGAGUCGAGUGUGUGAAUGAAGCUACCUCUUAGGCCAUCAAUGAAGGUUAUGUUAUUGGGGAGGUUGCAUCACCGUAAUUUAGUGAACUUGGUUGGCUAUUGCGCAGAAAAAAGACAACACAUGCUUAUAUAUGUUUACAUGAGUAAAGGAAGCUUAGCUUCUCACUUAUACA